AAACGUCGCAUUUGUCACCUGGGAACCCGUACACUGAGCACGCUCCAGUCGCUCACGCGGGCUAUGGAGGAGGCCGCAGCAAGGGAGCGGAAGAGGCCGCGCGAGGGCGACGCGGCUCCUUCCGCCGCGGCGGCGGCGGGGGCGGGGAAGGCGCAGUACGUGUACCUGCCCGUCGCCGACGCCCUCAAGGCCCCCGGCGCCAGGGUCUUCCUCUUCGCCGCCGUCUCCGAGAUCGGCGCCGCCGUCCGCAGCCGUGGCACGGAUUUCACUCUUACAUUGAGGGUUGCAGAUCAAUCACGUCCAGCUGGGAUCUCUGUAACAUUUUUUGCUGACAAUGUCGCCUUGUUGCCCUGUGUUAAGGCAAGCGGAGAUGUGAUCAGUCUUCAUAAUGUCGUGAUAACAAUGCAUGGAGAAUUUUUUGUUACAUUUAACAAGAAAUUUUCUUCAUUCGCCCUAUUUGAGGGCAAGGUAUCUACAGAGUGCAGCCCAUAUCAGACUUCUACAAAAUAUUAUGGGACCCAAUAUGAUAAUGAACUUUUGACCCAGAUGAGAACGUGGCUUGCUUAUAAUCCUCCAGGUCUGAAAGAUCUUGAAUUGCAGUUAAGGAGUUUAAAGUCCGAUACUACUUUUGAUUUAGUAUGCAAGGUUCUUCAUGUCUAUGAAAAUAACGGUGAAUGGAUAUUUUAUGUUUGGGAUGGAACUGAUACCCCUGCAGCUGAGUUUCAGGCAAUUUUGGAUGCUGAGGCGGUUGAGUCAUCCCCUUUACAUCUGGAAGGAGUGCCUCUACCAAGGGAGGUUUUAUGCACAAUGCCAUGCGUCGGAACUGUUCUAAGGGUUUUCACGAACAGGUAUAUCAAGGAAGUAUUUCACUUGCAAAAGAAUAUUUACUGGGCCAGGUUCUGCAAUAUAACUUGCAAGCAAGAGUUUGGGAUUUGGAAAGGCAUUUUAGGGCCCUCUAGCAGAGUUCGCCUUUUAUCUCAUGAAGAUGGCAGCGUUGUUGAUCGCAUGAACCGCAUCGCCAACCAAGUUCAUCGGCAGCCGAUGGCGAGCCUCCCUGGGGCAUCUAACAUUGCUGAUGUAGAAUAUGAGGCAGCAGGUUACACAACGUUAAUGGAGUCUUUAACUCAUGAACAGGUGACGCACAAAUUCAAAACCCUGGUCCGUGUUGUGGCAGCAUAUCCAUGUCGAGCUAGUGAACUCCGUUUGCUUUUGACUGGUAGCUAUUGUCUUCGGUUGACUCUUGAGGAUCCUACAGCGAGAAUUCAUGCAUACGUCCACAAGGAUGACGGGGUAAUAUAUUACUAAAUCACUCAUAUGUUUGAUUGCUUGAUGCUUCGCCUACAGUGGCUUCACUCUUAUGCCAAAUUCUUCGGUGGUUUUCUAACAGCAGAAGCGUUGAUAAAGAAGAUGAACAAGCUACUGGGCAUCCCAGAAGAGGAUGAGGAAGGCACUCCCUUGACCAGGAACCCACCUUGGAUAUGGUGUUGCGUGAAAUCUUACCGUCUGGACAAAAACGACCCCUGGGGCAGCAGAAGAUAUCGAAUCUUUGGCACAGAGAUCAGGGAUUGAGUAGGGAUGCUGCUUUGUUUUUUUGCUAGUAGGGAUGCUGCUUGAAUAUGCCUGGAAAACCCUUGCAAAUGAUUCCCAUUCAUAUUGUGUACUAUUUGUACGCGCUUAGCACUCCUUUUAGUUUGCCAACUACUGUUGUGCCUAGGACUAAGAAUUAGCAUGUUGUUGCAGUACCUUUGCUGGCUUGCUUGUGUACAGUCCCAUGUAGAACACUAGUAUCUUGCUGCACUCUGUAAUCUGUAUCUGUGAAUCCCCUGUAUGCUAAUUAUCUAAUGAGAUGUAAUUGGAAACCCUCCAAUUUCCCCCGGCGAA